UACGUAGGGAGCAAGCGUUGUCCGGAAUCAUCGGGCGUAAAGCGCGCGUAGGUGGCUUCGUAAGUCCGUUGUGAAAGUCAAAGGCUCAACCUUUGAAAGCCGAUGGAUACUGCGGAGCUAGAGUACGGAAGAGGCGAGUGGAAUUCCUGGUGUAGCGGUGGAAUGCGCAGAUAUCAGGAGGAACACCAAUAGCGAAGGCAGCUCGCUGGGACGUUACUGACACUGAGGCGCGAAAGCGUGGGGAGCGAACAGG
rnacentral:rRNA from 1 species